AGUUCCAGAGUUCUACUGUGUAAUAAAGGCUGGGAUCUGAGAUACAGACACGGCGUCAUGACCUAAGAAGGAAGUUCCUUUAACAAGCUAGGAAAUCCAAGGACCAACUUGCUCAAAGUUCUUUGCCAAACAUAUAUGGCAAGCCAUUUGGACAGUUACAAGCCAGAAAACAUCUAAAGGAGCAACUUUCACUCAUCAACUAUUUGAGGUUGAAUGUUUUUCUGUGACCGAGAGACAGAUUGACAACUCCAGCCAGGUAGAAGUUCUGCUGCUUCAGCACUUGCCUGCGGAAGGACUAAUAUUAUGCUGGAGUUGCUGAACAAUGCUACUGGUCCCUAAGAGCUCAUCCAGAAAAUGUUAUUUACAGUUAUCUGAUGUGUUCUGAAUAAAUCGCCCAAUUAAAGCAAAUAAUGACUGGGCAUUCAGAGGGGGUCACAACCAUGGGAAAUCAUCUUUCCUGAGAAACACGAGUGCUUAGAGUAACAGAAAAUCACCGCUGGUACCAGGAACUAUAUAUUUUGAUACAAAUUUCAAUGCAUUUAUCUCUAUCUUUGAUUUUUUUUCUUAACCUCUUUCCAUGUUUAUCUUUCAAUAUCUUUACCCCUGUCUUGUAUCUUUCAGGUUUUACAAAACUUUCUGAACCAUUAUCCUCACUACUACUGGGUUGGAAAUUCAUGAAUGGUUUCUAGUCUUUGACCUUGGGAAAAUAUUUUCAGUGUACAUGCUGCUUCCUAAAAGCCUUUUAUUAUUCUUUAGGGCUAAACUCUGCCACAUCAACCACUAUAAUCUUAAACCACAUCCUAGUGAACAAAAGAUACUAUAUCACUCAGUUGAGUUUAACAAUUACACAUUUGUUCAAAUCUUGUUGGCUGUUAAUUCUCUAAUGUUCUGCAGUACCAACUAGAGUCUUUGGAAUGCACUUGGAAAACCAUGUUCAACUACCUAGUUAUCCAGCAAAGUGAACUUUCAGUCUCCAAGACCUGUAGAUCUAAUAGGUCAUCAUAUAGAAUCUGUCCUUCAUCAUGAAAUCAGGAGUCACUGAAAUGAUGUAAUUAAUUUUUUUCACAGAAUCUCUCCAGCCACACUAUGAGAAAUGGGUUGGAAAGAGAUAAGACAAGCAGUACAAAAUCAGUUAGAAAGCUCUAACCCUUAGGCAUGCGGAUCCGGCUGAAAAGCCCAUGAGAGUAUUUCAGGCAUGGAAAGCCAAGACACUCUAGAAAAAAAAAAAAAAAAACACUAAAUGAAAGAUCUCCGUGAGUGAGAUCCCAGUGGAAAGAACGGGUCAUCAAAGAAGGAGGUACCUUUCUCUGAAGGGAGGAAAGAACUUCCACUUUGACCAUGGCCUCAUCUAAAUAUGAUCAGAGUCAGUGAACUCAGGGGGCUUCCAUAGCCUUGGCAGCUCAUGACAAGAGCCUACGGUGAUUACUGAUGCCAUAAACAAGAGUGUCAAUUUGUUAAGUCAACAACAGGAGUCACUGUGCACUUACUCCUCAUGUAGGAUCUUUGUCCUUAGUGUGCUGUACAUUGAGAUUUAAUGCUAUAACUAGUACUCAAACAGUAUUUUUCACUUUAUGUUUCUGUGUGGGAGCAAACUGUUGAAAUCUUUACUUAAUGUAUGCUAAACUGAUCUUCUGUAUAUAAAGAGAAACGAAAAUGAAUCUU